rnacentral:rRNA from 1 species
UGGGGAAUAUUGCACAAUGGGCGGAAGCCUGAUGCAGCAACGCCGCGUGCGGGAUGACGGCCUUCGGGUUGUAAACCGCUUUCGCCUGUGACGAAGCGUGAGUGACGGUAAUGGGUAAAGAAGCACCGGCUAACUACGUGCCAGCAGCCGCGGUGAUACGUAGGGUGCGAGCGUUGUCCGGAUUUAUUGGGCGUAAAGGGCUCGUAGGUGGUUGAUCGCGUCGGAAGUGUAAUCUUGGGGCUUAACCCUGAGCGUGCUUUCGAUACGGGUCGACUUGAGGAAGGUAGGGGAGAAUGGAAUUCCUGGUGGAGCGGUGGAAUGCGCAGAUAUCAGGAGGAACACCAGUGGCGAAGGCGGUUCUCUGGGCCUUUCCUGACGCUGAGGAGCGAAAGCGUGGGGAGCGAACA